AAAAUGGGAUCAAAAAUUCAAGUACGGAGAUAAGAUCUCCUGGUCGAUAAAAAUCGAGCCAAAAAGCAAGUAUGGAGAUGAGAUCUUCUGAUCGAUGAAAAUCGAAUUGAACAUUCAAGUAUAGAAAUAAGAUCUCCUGAUCGGUAAAUGAUUGAGUCAAAAAGCAAAUGCGGAGAUAAGAUCUCCUGAUCGAUCAAAAUCGGAUCGAAAAUUCAAGUGUGGAGAUAAGAUCUCCUAGUCGGUG
rnacentral:lncRNA from 1 species